GGAUAUGUGAUCAAGGCAAUGGGCCAAGUUCUCUGUGGUCUUACAGUAGGUUUCUAGCUAAGAUGUGUCAAAGUGAAGCACACUGUGUUUUCUGGUCAUGAGUCACUUUGCAUGUGGCUUAACUCCAUCUGACUUGCUAAAUGCAGUAUUCAGAUUGACGGGUGAACUGGAAAUGGUGACUCCACAAAUGCUAGAUUUAUGUACUAGAAUGUUCUGGCAGUAUUUCCUAGUACUUUUGCUUUUUUGUAUCUAUUUUGUUCAUGUGCUAGUAUUUUAUAUGGUUAGAACACUAACAAAAAGGAUGUAAUUUCUUCAAACUAAUUCUUAUUUACAAAUUUGUAGUAGUCAUCUGCUAGAGUUUUGCAAAGAGUAGGCUCUCCUUUAGAUGAGCACUCUGUGUAAUUAACUUUGAAACGUUGAGGUUCUGCUUGACCUAGACUAGCUUCUGGGUUUGGAGAAAUGUUCAGGGAAGUCAUUUAAGAUUAAACAUUUCUUGUAUCAAGAUUCAAAACCAGUAUGUUAGCAGUUCUUAUUUGAUUAUAAACACCUAAAUGCUUCUGUAAUUUGUAAAACCAUUAAAAUUACCAAUUUUGUAUGUUAUAUACCACGUAGCCACAUGGGAUUAAUGACAGGUGAUGGUUUGUCCUUGAUGAAUAAAAGUAAUGCAAUUUAAAUAUUUCUGGUAUUGCUGAAAGUAUUUGACACUUUUUAUCAAUAUACAUUGAAAUUGAAACUACAUA